CCCCUGGUGGUCCAGUGGUUAAGCCUCUGUGCUCCCAAUGCAGGGGGCCCAGGUUCAAUCCCUGGCUGGGGAA
rfam:TPA: Bos taurus chromosome 9, whole genome shotgun sequence.